rnacentral:rRNA from 1 species
CACUUAACAGCUAGCUUAAACAACCAACACAACAAACA